rnacentral:rRNA from 1 species
AUUGAACGCUGGCGGCAGGCCUAACACAUGCAAGUCGAACGGCAGCACAGAAGAGCUUGCUCUUUGGGUGGCGAGUGGCGGACGGGUGAGUAAUGUCUGGGAAACUGCCCGAUGGAGGGGGAUAACUACUGGAAACGGUAGCUAAUACCGCAUAACGUCGCAAGACCAAAGUGGGGGACCUUCGGGCCUCGCACCAUCGGAUGUGCCCAGAUGGGAUUAGCUAGUAGGUGGGGUAAUGGCUCACCUAGGCGACGAUCCCUAGCUGGUCUGAGAGGAUGACCAGCCACACUGGAAAUGAGACACGGUCCAGACUCCUACGGGAGGCAGCAGUGGGGAAUAUUGCACAAUGGGCGCAAGCCUGAUGCAGCCAUGCCGCGUGUAUGAAGAAGGCCUUCGGGUUGUAAAGUACUUUCAGCGGGGAGGAAGGCGGUGAGGUUAAUAACCUUGCCGAUUGACGUUACCCGCAGAAGAAGCACCGGCUAACUCCGUGCCAGCCGCCGCGGUAA